GCUGACUCUCUUUUCAGACUCAGCCCACUUGCACCCAAGUGAAUUAACAGCCUUGUUGCUCACACAAAGCCUGUUUAGGUGGUCUUCUAUACGGACAUGCUUGACACUUGGUGCCAAAAUCUGGGCCAGGGGGACUCCUUCGUGAGACCGGCCCCCUGUCCUGGCCCUCAUUCCGUGAAGAGAUCCACCUGCGACCUCGGGUCCUCAGACCAGCCCAAGGAACAUCUCACCAAUUUCAAAUCGGAUCUCCUCGGCUUAGUGGCUGAAGACUGAUGCUGCCCGAUCGCCUCAGAAGCCCCUUGGACCAUCACAGAUGCCGAGCUUCGGGUAACUCUUACGGUGGAGGAUUCCCAGCCAUAUGAAGACACCCUAGCUGGACGAUCAGUCCUUGUCAAAAGUCUGACCCCUCAAACUCUACAGCCUCAAUGGACCAGACCCUACCCGGUCAUUUAUAGCACACCAACUGCCGUCCAUCUGCAGGACCCUCUCCAUUGGGUUCACCAUUCCAGAAUAAAGCCAUGCCCAUCAGACAGCCAGCUUGAUCUCUCCUCUUCCUCCUGGAAGCCACAAGAUUAGGCCGAGAGCCGAUCAGACAAACAACCUACAACCCUUAAGCUCCUGGCAGCGCCCAGCCAAGGCCAUGCUUCCUUGCAACACUCCUUCCAAAUGGCCAUCCCAGCAUGCUUCCAAGCAGGCUUCAUCCGUUCCUCUGGACCCUCAUCUCUUAAGACCUGCCGCCUAUAAAAAGGAUUAUAUCUUGAGACCCUAUCCUCUAAAAUUUUUUCCACACCCAAAACAAAAAAUCUCUGGGUCAAAAGUCUAAAACGCUUAGGCUGGCAACCAUCAGAUCCUUGCCCAUGGUGUCCUCAAGCCUACUCUCAUGAAAUGGACAACAGUACACGCAUAUGGGGCCAGUUCCACAUAUUUGGCAACCAGACCAGCAUCCAGGACAACACAAAGAUCUGCAAUCAGAACUAUUGAACUUCUCCAUUCAGACCGCCACUCACACCUAUGGGAAAAGGGUGGCCUGCAGGAGCCAAGAAGUCUGGAGCAGCCGAAAAACCACAAAGAAGUGAAACAGCCAGUUCCUGCCUUAACUAAUUAACCCACCUUACGACAUUCCACCAUUAUGACUUGUCCACCAUUAUGACUUGUUCCUGCCCUGCCCCAACUGAUCAAUCAACCCUGUGACAUUCUUCUCCUGGACAAUGAGUCCCAUCAUCUCUCCACCAUGCACCUUGUGACCCCCUCCUCUGCUGAGGAUAACCACCUUUAACUGUAACUUUCCACGCCUACCCAAGCCCUAUAAAGCUGCCCCUCUCCUAUCUCCCUUCACUGACUCUCUUUUCGGACUCAGCCCACUUGCACCCAAGUGAAUUAACAGCCUUGUUGCUCACACAAAGCCUGAUUGGGUGUCUUCUAUACGGACACGCGUGACAGGAACCUCAACCCAAAGGCAGUCUGAUGAGGUGUCUAAGAUAAAAGUAGCGGCACAAAGGCUUUUGUAAACAGAGGCGUUUCAUGUGGUUUUCCUUUCCUUUCCUUAUAUGUGAAAAGGUGACAGAAAAGAAA
ensembl:lncRNA UCA1 urothelial cancer associated 1